UGCGGAGGGGGCUAGCGUUGUUCGGAAUUACUGGGCGUAAAGCGCGCGUAGGCGGCUUUGUAAGUUAGAGGUGAAAGCCCGGAGCUUAACUCCGGAACUGCCUUUAAGACUGCAUCGCUAGAAUCGUGGAGAGAUGAGUGGAAUUCCGAGUGUAGAGGUGAAAUUCGUAGAUAUUCGGAAGAACACCAGUGGCGAAGGCGACUCACUGGACACGUAUUGACGCUGAGGUGCGAAAGCGUGGGGAGCAAACAGG
rnacentral:rRNA from 1 species